AGUAGGAUAAGCUAUUCAAGCUAGCGGGUUCAUACCCCGAAAAAGAGGCCUCCUCUCCUACUA
rnacentral:tRNA from 1 species